UCGCAAGUGGUGUGGUCUGGGUCAUGUGAUGUCGUUCUGAUCAUGUGUCUCGAGUUGCCAUGUUGCGAUCCCAAGUGUCUACCAUGUUUUCGAAAUUUAGCAUGUAAAUGGGAUGGAUAAAAUAUGCCCCAACAUUUACCCCCCACUUUUCAAUUCGAAGUAUUCAUUCUGGGAAGUAGAUUGCUUUUGGAAUUUCGAAGUCAUGUGCUGAAGUGAGCCUCUUUGUUGUUAUGAGAUUGCUUAUAGCAGCCGGGCUCCCUUGGGUUUGACCAUGAUAGGAUACUUGGUACGGCAUGAGCUGGGUCGCUGAAUCAUCUCCUGUCGCUUGGCA
rnacentral:lncRNA from 1 species